AUCGCUUCUUGGCCUUUUGGCUAAGAUCAAGUGUAGUAUCUGUUCUUAUCAGUUUAAAGUGUAUUAGUUAAAGAAAGUAGUCUAAAAAUAUACUUCACUAUAGUAAGUUGUUUAUUAUGAAACAGCUGCACAGGCAGUGAAGCUAUAUUCUGGAAAUUGAAGUCCCGGGCAUCAUUUUUCUGCAAGGAUUAA